GUGGGGAAUAUUGCACAAUGGGCGAAAGCCUGAUGCAGCAACGCCGCGUGAGCGAUGAAGGCCUUCGGGUCGUAAAGCUCUGUCCCAAGGGAAGAUAAUGACGGUACCUUGGGAGGAAGCCCCGGCUAACUACGUGCCAGCAGCCGCGGUAAUACGUAGGGGGCAAGCGUUAUCCGGAAUCACUGGGCGUAAAGGGUGCGUAGGCGGUCUUGCAAGCCAGAGGUGAAAGGCUAUGGCUCAACCAUAGUGAGCCUUUGGAACUGCCGGACUUGAGUACAGGAGAGGAAAGUGGAAUUCCUAGUGUAGCGGUGAAAUGCGUAGAUAUUAGGAGGAACACCAGUGGCGAAGGCGACUUUCUGGACUGUUACUGACGCUGAGGCACGAAAGCGUGGGGAGCGAACAGGAUUAGAUACCCCUGUAGUCC
rnacentral:rRNA from 1 species